rnacentral:rRNA from 1 species
UACGUAGGGACCAAGCGUUGUUCGGAUUUACUGGGCGUAAAGGGCGCGUAGGCGGCAAUUCAAGUCAUCUGUGAAAUCUCCGGGCUUAACUCGGAACGGUCAGGUGAUACUGCUUUGCUAGAGUGCGGAAGGGGCAACUGGAAUUCUCGGUGUAGCGGUGAAAUGCGUAGAUAUCGAGAGGAACACCUGCGGCGAAGGCGGGUUGCUGGGCUGACACUGACGCUGAGGCGCGAAAGCCAGGGGAGCGAACGGG